rnacentral:rRNA from 1 species
UACGUAGGGUGCAAGCGUUGUCCGGAAUUAUUGGGCGUAAAGAGCUCGUAGGCGGUCUGUCGCGUCGGCUGUGAAAACCCGGAGCUCAACUCCGGGCCUGCAGUCGAUACGGGCAGACUGGAGUUCGGCAGGGAGACUGGAAUUCCUGGUGUAGCGGUGAAAUGCGCAGAUAUCAGGAGGAACACCGGUGGCGAAGGCGGGUCUCUGGGCCGAUACUGACGCUGAGGAGCGAAAGCGUGGGAGCGAACAGG